UAGGGAAUCUUCGGCAAUGGGGGGAACCCUGACCGAGCAACGCCGCGUGAGUGAAGAAGGUUUUCGGAUUGUAAAGCUCUGUUGUUAAGGAAGAACGAGUGUGAGAAUGGAAAGUUCAUACUGUGACGGUACUUAACCAGAAAGGGACGGCUAACUACGUGCCAGCAGCCGCGGUAAUACGUAGGUCCCGAGCGUUGUCCGGAUUUAUUGGGCGUAAAGCGAGCGCAGGCGGUUAGAAAAGUCUGAAGUGAAAGGCAGUGGCUCAACCAUUGUAGGCUUUGGAAACUGUUUAACUUGAGUGCAGAAGGGGAGGGUGGAAUUCCAUGUGUAGCGGUGAAAUGCGUAGAUAUAUGGAGGAACACCGGGGGCGAAGGCGGCUCUCUGGUCUGUAACGGACGCUGAGGCUCGAAAGCGUGGGGAGCGAACAGG
rnacentral:rRNA from 1 species